AGCAAGUCAUGAGGAGCAAGCCAGUAAGCAGCACCCCUCCAUGGCCUCUGCAUCAGCUCCUGCCCAGGUUCCUGCCCUGUUUGAUUUCCUGUCCUUAAUUCCUUUAGUGAUAGACAGGGUCUCAUGGAACUGCUCAAGUUGCUCUGACACAACCCUCCUCCUGUCUUGGCUUCCAAAUGACAGAAUUACAGCUGCACGGUACUCUUGCCUGGCUAUUUGCUAAUACAUUGAACCUCCCUCAACACAGUUCAGGGUAGAGCGUUACCUGCUAGCAAGUUCACAUCUUGGACUCCAGCCACGGAGCAUCCUGCUCUCCCUUCCAGGGCCCUUCGAGAGCAAUGAGCUGCCAGAAGACCCUAAUCACAUGCGUGCUGUCAUCUGGAAAUGAU